GUUGUCCGACUCUGUUGCCUCCGGGGCGACCCUGCCUUCGGGCGGGGGCUCCGGGUGGACACUUCAAACUCUUGCGUAACUUUGCAGUCUGAGUAAACUUAAUUAAUAAAUUAAAACUUUUAACAACGGAUCUCUUGGUUCUGGCAUCGAUGAAGAACGCAGCGAAAUGCGAUAAGUAAUGUGAAUUGCAGAAUUCAGUGAAUCAUCGAAUCUUUGAACGCACAUUGCGCCCCCUGGUAUUCCGGGGGGCAUGCCUGUUCGAGCGUCAUUUCACCACUCAAGCCUCGCUUGGUAUUGGGCAACGCGGUCCGCCGCGUGCCUCAAAUCGACCGGCUGGGUCUUCUGUCCCCUAAGCGUUGUGGAAACUAUUCGCUAAAGGGUGUUCGGGAGGCUACGCCGUAAAACAACCCCAUUUCUAAGGUUGACCUCGGAUCAGGUAGGGAUACCCGCUGAACUUAAGCAUAU
rnacentral:rRNA from 1 species